rnacentral:tRNA from 1 species
GCCCAGAUGGCGGAAUUGGUAGACGCGCUAGUUUCAGGGACUAGUGACCUUUUUGGUUGUGCAGGUUCGAGCCCUGUUCCGGGCA